GAUAUUGCUCCCUCUGCCUCAUUUGCCCAUCCAGUCAUUGUUGGUAUAUGUGCUUCAGAAGGAAGGGCUUCCAGUGGAAGACGGCUUCUCCAACUCUUUUGCCAUUGCUUUCCUGAAAGAGUUUUGGCCAUUGUGGAAAUUACCUCAAGGCUGGACACAGCAAAAACUCUGCCCAGGUCAUAGGCAUAAUUUCUAGGGUCUGUGAUCAAAUACAUGUAGAACCACAGAGUAUAGUGUGCAUGUUCUUCAAAGGACCAAUCUGCUGUUACUUUGUGUCUGUAAUCAUUCAGGCCAUGAUUCAGCAAGAAGUUGCCCAUCAUUGUGCAAAUAAACAGCCUCAGUGAGAUGCUCUGAGUUAGGCAUGUGCUUAACGGUUCUGCUAAACUGACAUGAAACCUGCCAUGAUCUGCUAAACCCGUGCAUGAAAGGUGGGCAAGGGAGCUGAAAGGUGGGAGAGUUUUCAUUCCCACUUGCUCACACAUGUCAUAAGGGGGGACAAAGCUAAACAGAAACAGCAAAUCACCCUCUAAGCAUCUCCAUAUGUAAGGUAGCUGCUUCAACUUACACCAGAGCUGAAAUGCAGUCUACAUUCUUUCUUUUUUCAGGUUGGGAUGAAUACCAUUCAGGAACAAAAGAACAAGUGAAUAAAGUAUCCUAAGCAAUUUUUGCAAAGAAUACACAUUUUUAAGUUGUUCUGGAGAUGAUAAAGAUUGGACCUUAGCACCAGCAACCUCCAGCAGACUGCAAUGGCUCUGCCUUUAAUACACUUCCACCCCUGUGUGUUAUACAGCCAUAAUACUGAACACAUGAGGCAGACAGCUGCCCUGAGGCAUUCUCUGUAAAAACUUUCAUAUCACAACGGAACUGAACGCACCAUUAUAACACCACGUCUCCUCUUCUUCACGCUGCUGCUUCCGCAUAACUGAGACCUGUUUAGUGCAAAUGAAAGCAGUUUUCUGGAUGAAGCAACCUUUUCCUUUUCCUCAGAGUCUUGGGCUCCACAUCCACUCCCUGCCAGGACAGGUGCGUCCCACACAGUUUGUGUCCAGCCUUCCUCUAUCAGGCAUGCUGUAUCUUCUGCCGAUUUUUUCAGCCCACAGUAAGUCAACCUGGGCAUAGCUGAAGGUGAGAGAAUAUUUCAAUCUAUAGUGCAUAUCCCUUCUGUGUUUUCUGAUUAAAAUUUGCAAACAAAUCUUGGAAUAAGCUAUACCUGACGUGACUUCUAAAAUAAUUUACACAGUUUAUAAAGCAGGGGCUAAAUCCUCCAAACCCUCCCCAUGCUAUUUGUAUGCAGAAGUGAUGUGGGUUUGCAGGAGUGGGCCCAGCUGUGUAGCUGAAACCUUACUAGGACAGCAAGCAAAAUAAUGGUUACAGCAAACCCAUAAAAAUAAUAAACUGAUUGUCCAUUCAACA
rnacentral:lncRNA from 1 species